CACAGAACCACUGAAAUGAAAGUGCCAAAAGUCUAGAAAAGCAGUCUGCUACAGUAGUCUGUCUCCUAUGAAUUGAAGCUCACACUGAAAGGACUGGACCUGGCCUUCGGGGGGGUUACCCCAGCUGACGUCCAUGCAAAGG